CGGAGUGAGACGAAGGGAGUAGUUGAUUGACUAUAGGAGAAAUGGAGCAAAGGGUUAAUUCAGAACCGCCGGCAGAAAACCAGAAGAAGAAAAAGAUGGCGGAAGAUGAAGGGAAAACAACUGCAGAAGGAGAAAAAAUUGAAGAGAUGAAGCCAUGGGAGCAGCAUUCUGCUGUGAUAAGCAUCCCUCGUUUCGAUUACAACGCUUCUUCUUCCUUACUCCGCCAUUCGCAUUCUGGGUUUCUCAUUACAUGCCCAAUCAAGAGGGAAAAAAGUGCAACGAAAGAAGCUAUAAGUAUCCUUGAAAAGUAUAUUCUUUCAAAUCAUGAUGCUAAGCGAAGGAAAACAUGCAUGGAUGAUGCUAAUGCAGAAUGUAAAGGAUCAAGAGAAGGUGCAGCUAAUGAACAUGUGAAUUUGGAAUCUGGUACUUCUAUGGAGAAAAGUGACAUUCUCUCACUCGUUAAGUUAACGAGAAGUGGAUUAGUUCUCUUUAAAUUUCCAUUCGACAAGUCUCCAGCAGUUGUUGACAUCGUUUCGCAAAUUUUUCAAUCCCUAGAAUCUGGAAUAUUGAAGUCUCCUCUUUGGUGCAAUCGGAUAUUACCAAUUCAAGGUACAUGCUGUUUAGAUGAGAAGGAACUUAAGAAGAUUGUGACAAAGCUUGUUGAGCAGUUUAUGAACAAUAGGCAGAAGGAGACAGGAAACACUGUUAAGUUUGCAGUUGGGUAUAACAGGAGAGGGAUUGAAGAAACCGAGAUGAAGAAUCUAAGAAACACUUCCAGUGAUCCUGAUAUAUUUGCUUUGUUGGAUCGCAACAAAUGCUUUAGUGUCGUAGCAGCAGCAGUGAAAGAAGUUGUCCCAGAUUCGAUAGUGGAUUUGAAAGAUCCAGAGAUCUGUGUGCUUGUUGAGGUACUUCCACUGUCUGGAGUACCAGAUAGGACAGCCAUAGUUGGUGUAUCAGUUCUUCCACGAGCACUUGUUACUACGAAGCCUCGACUCAGCAUCAAGGCCUUAGUCUCGGAUACAAAAGAAACGAAUAAGAAGAAAAGAUAAUGGUCUCUUCCAAGAACAGGAAGAGCAUAGGAUGCGCCUUGGACAGAAGGCUAUAUUUCAUCUUGAAGUGAGCUGAUCGGAGCAGAAGCCUGGGAAAACAUCACGCAUAAAGAAGCAGUUGAAUUAUUUAUUGUUUAGGUCGAUAAUCCAAGGAAAUGGGCGAUUGGCGAUGUAUACAAUGUUUUGUGUGAUAAGAAUGUGCCACCAAGGCUUAAAGGUAACAUUUAUAAAGCGAUUGUAAGACCAAUUAUGUUGUAUGAGACAUAGUGCUGGCCGGUCAAGAAUUCACGUGUCUAGAAGAUGCAAGUAGCGAAAAUGAGGAUGUUGAGAUGGAUGUGUGGGCAUACUAAGAGAGAUAUGAUUAGGAACCAAGAAAUUCCGGACGAGGUGAGAGCAUGUGAAGUGGAGAUGCACAGAUGACCUAGUGAGGAGAUGUGAGACGUUGGCUACGGUAGGUAUGAGGAUAGGUAGAGGUAGGCCUAAGAAGUAGUGCGGAGAGGUGAUUAGAUAGGAUUUGACACACGUGCAACUUACUAUGUACAUGAUCUUAGAUAAGAGGGUAUGGAGGUCGAGGAUUAGGGUAAAAGGUUGAUAGGUAGUCGAACGUUGACUAGUUUUCCGUGUUAGUAUUGUUCCAAUUAUUACUUUUCUACUAUCUUAUUCUUUGUUUUA